GACGAACGCUGGCGGCGUGCUUAACACAUGCAAGUCGAACGGAAAGGCCCUGCUUUUGUGGGGUGCUCGAGUGGCGAACGGGUGAGUAACACGUGAGUAACCUGCCCUUGACUUUUGGAUAACUUCAGGAAACUGGGGCUAAUACCGGAUAGGAGCUCCUGCUGCAUGGUGGGGGUUGGAAAGUUUCGGCGGUUGGGGAUGGACUCGCGGCUUAUCAGCUUGUUGGUGGGGUAGUGGCUUACCAAGGCUUUGACGGGUAGCCGGCCUGAGAGGGUGACCGGCAACAUUGGGACUGAGAUACGGCCCAGACUCCUACGGGAGGCAGCAGUGGGGAAUAUUGCACAAUGGGCGGAAGCCUGAUGCAGCAACGCCGCGUGCGGGAUGACGGCCUUCGGGUUGUAAACCGCUUUCGCCUGUGACGAAGCGUGAGUGACGGUAAUGGGUAAAGAAGCACCGGCUAACUACGUG
rnacentral:rRNA from 1 species